UACAGAGGUCCCAAGCGUUGUUCGGAUUCACUGGGCGUAAAGGGUGCGCAGGUGGGCUUGCAAGUUCGAUGUGAAAGCCCCGGGCUUAACCCGGGAAUGGCAUUGGAUACUGCAGAUCUGGAGGAUCGGAGGGGGGACUGGAAUUCUUGGUGUAGCAGUGAAAUGCGUAGAUAUCAAGAGGAACACCAGUGGCGAAGGCGAGUCCCUGGACGAUACCUGACACUGAGGCACGAAAGCCGGGGGAGCAAACAGG
rnacentral:rRNA from 1 species